rnacentral:rRNA from 1 species
ACGACGCUGGCGGCGUGCCUAACACAUGCAAGUCGAACGGGGUUACGAGAGCUUGCUCUUGUAACUUAGUGGCGAACGGGUGAGUAACGCGUGAGAAACCUGCCUCUCAGUGGGGGGACAACAGUUGGAAACGACUGCUAAUACCGCAUAACACUUUAGUACCGCAUGGUACAGAAGUCAAAGCUUUAUGUGCUGAGAGAUGGUCUCGCGUCUGAUUAGCUAGAUGGCGGGUAACGGCCCACCAUGGCGACGAUCAGUAGCCGGUCUGAGAGGAUGAACGGCCACAUUGGGACUGAGAUACGGCCCAGACUCCUACGGGAGGCAGCAGGUGGGGAAUAUUGGGCAAUGGGGGAAACCCUGACCCAGCAACGCCGCGUGAAGGAAGAAGGCCUUCGGGUUGUAAACUUCUUUAGCAGGGACGAAGAACGUGACGGUACCUGCAGAAAAGCAACGGCUAACUACGUG